rnacentral:rRNA from 1 species
UUUAUCGUGGGGUAAAGAGGAAACGCAUACUUCGGUAUGUGGCAAUUGGAGGGGCCUGCGGCGGAUUAGCUAGAUGGUGGGGUAAAGGCCUACCAUGGCGACGAUCCGUAGCUGGUCUGAGAGGACGGCCAGCCACACUGGGACUGAGACNCGGCCCAGACUCCUACGGGAGGCAGCAGUAAGGAAUAUUCCACAAUGGGCGCAAGCCUGAUGGAGCGACGCCGCGUGCGGGACGAAGCCUUUCGGGGUGUAAACCGCUUUUGUAGGGGAUGACACUCCCUUUUAGGGAUACGACAGUACCUUCCGAAUAAGCAUCGGCUAACUACGUGCCAGCAGCCGCGGUAAUACGUAGGAUGCAAGCGUUGUCCGGAUUUACUGGGCGUAAAGCGCGCGCAGGCGGCAGGUUAAGUAAGGUGUGAAAUCUCCCUGCUCAACGGGGAGGGUGCACUUUAGACUGACCAGCUAGAGGGCGGUAGAGGGUGGUGGAAUUGCUGGUGUAGCGGUGAAAUGCGUAGAGAUCAGCAGGAACACCCGUGGCGAAGGCGGCCACCUGGGCCGUACCUGACGCUGAGGCGCGAAGGCUAGGGGACGAACG